UACAUGGGGUGCAAACGUUGCUCGGAAUUAUUGGGCGUAAAGCGCACGUAGGCGGUUUGUUAAGUCGGAUGUGAAAUCCCUCGGCUCAACUGAGGAAGUGCAUCCGAAACUGGCAGGCUUGAGUACUAAAGAGGGUCGCGGAAUUCCCGGUGUAGAGGUGAAAUUCGUAGAUAUCGGGAGGAACACCGGUGGCGAAGGCGGCGACCUGGGCCGAUACUGACGCUGAGGAGCGAAAGCGUGGGGAGCGAACAGG
rnacentral:rRNA from 1 species